rnacentral:rRNA from 1 species
UGCUGGAGGUAUCAGAAGUGCGAAUGCUGACAUAAGUAACGAUAAAGCGGGUGAAAAGCCCGCUCGCCGGAAGACCAAGGGUUCCUGUCCAACGUUAAUCGGGGCAGGGUGAGUCGACCCCUAAGGCGAGGCCGAAAGGCGUAGUCGAUGGGAAACAGGUUAAUAUUCCUGUACUUGGUGUUACUGCGAAGGGGGGACGGAGAAGGCUAUGUUGGCCGGGCGACGGUUGUCCCGGUUUAAGCGUGUAGGCUGAUUUUCCAGGCAAAUCCGGAGAAUCAAGGCUGAGGCGUGAUGACGAGGCACUACGGUGCUGAAGCAACAAAUGCCCUGCUUCCAGGAAAAGCCUCUAAGCAUCAGGUAACAUCAAAUCGUACCCCAAACCGACACAGGUGGUCAGGUAGAGAAUACCAAGGCGCUUGAGAGAACUCGGGUGAAGGAACUAGGCAAAAUGGUGCCGUAACUUCGGGAGAAGGCACGCUGAUAUGUAGGUGAAGCGAC